CUUCCGGCCACUUUAGCACCCAGAGUGGGCUAACGCCUCAUGGCCUCUUCCUGGGCCAGUCUGAGCGGGGUAGGAAGACCCAAAGCCACGUGAGUCAGGAUCUGGCUGGGCUGCACCUGACCGCCACCCUGCCUUCUGCAGCCCUGUGGGAGGAAGACCAAGGAAAUCUGUCUGCUUCUCAGCUUGAAUGCUGCUAGUUUGAGCUUGGGAGCAAGAAGAUUGUUGACUAAAUGUGACCGUUUCGAGGACAUCAGCUGCUCUGUCCCUGCUCUGUGAUAAGCAGAACGCGCCAUUAGCCUCGAGUUGCUGGUGAAGCGGUGAGGAAACUGUGACUCAGCCUGGCCCACAUCUUCCCCCUGGCCCGCUGGCUACACUGAGGGCCAGCACCAGGCAUCUGCUCCCUCUAUGGGCUUGACUGCUGAUGACAAACAAUGACAUCUGACUUCCUUUUUCUUUGAUGAACAAGGUUACCCUGGAAGGCCCUAGAACGAUAACGAAUGUCCAGGAGAGACGGAGAAGAGAAGACGGUCGUGUGCAGACCAAGGCAGAGACUGGAGAUAUGCAGCCAUAAGUCAAGGACCACCUGGAGUGACAAGAAAGGGGGAGGCAAAGAAGGACCCUCACCCAGAGCCUCAGAGGGGUAUGGCCCUGCUGACCUUGACUUUGGACCUGUGGCCUCCAGAUUGUGAGAGAGUAAAUUUCCGUUGUUCUAAGCCA